GUUUGAAUAAUCAUAAUGCGAACAAUUUAUUUGCGGACAACGCGUAAUAUACUAGUCGCUGGUAUAACACAAUUUACGUUUACUAUAUUUACGCAGAUUUCCAUUCAUCGAGCAAUACACUCUUAGCGAUUACAUUUUUUUUUUUUUUUUUUAAAUUUAGAACGAUAUACAGACAGUAUUCAGUUAGAAUUAACGAGUUAAUAAUUACACAAACAUAUUAUUAUUAUACACCUAUAGUAGCUGACUUAAUGCAAUAUAAAAUUAUAUUAUCGGUAUAAGUAAAACAUCUUUUAAACGAAAAAUGAUAAUAAUAAUAAUAAUAGGAAAAACGCUGUUAGUUAAAAAAAAAAAAUAAUAAUAAUAAUAAUAAGUACAUUAAUAUGUUUGUUUCAACGUAAUAAACAUGUUCGUAUACAAAUAAUAUUUAAAAAAUAAAAUCCAUCAUCGCGGUGCAGUUACAGCCCAUUAAUGACUAAUGAUACCGAAAACAAAAUUUCGUAUAAAUAUUCACAAAACGCCGAAAACCCUUCAAAGGGGCGCAAAUGAAUAUUUAUGAUUUAUUACAAUAAAUAUAAAAUACACCAAUAAACAACAUUCCGCGUACUUAUGCGGGCCAAUAUUAUUUUAAAUUUAUAAUACACCCUGUAGAAAUUAGCAUAAAUUACAAUAACGAUAAUAUCUGUGUAUUUUUUUUUUAUUCGGCGUCUGUUUAAACGGUUCACAUGUUAAAACAACCGUUCAUUGUACCGAUAUAUAUAAAUAUAUAUUGAUAAAACAAUAAUAUUAUUAUAAAAAAAACCCCCAUUAUUUACAACAAUAACAAAACGGACAAAUUAAACCUUAUCGAAGUAUAUAAAAUUAAACGGGUAUAGUGUAAAUUCAUUGCUGAAAAAAAAAAACAUACAUUUGAUUACCAAAGGCGAAAAUCAAAUUUCCCCGGUAUGUAUUUAGCUAGCCUAGUAUAUAUUUGUCUAAAUAUCAUUUUAAUCACUGUCAAUCCGUGUCGUCUGGGGCCCGCCCGAUUGUAAUGUAUAACGGUUGUUAUACUGAUAGUUGUUUUUUUUUUUUUUUGUUUUUUAGAUUCGAAACGUAUUUUUAUUUUAAUUUUAGUCCCAGUUGAGUUUUGGUUUUGUUUGGAUGUUUUCGAGCUUUGGCAUUUUUUAAUACCGCAAUCAAAUUUAAAUAAAUACAUUGAUUGUACGAAACCCACGGCGUGUCAGUGAUUAUUGAUCCCCGUGUAUUUCUAAAAAGAAGUACACGUUUGUGGAAAUGCUUUGGUGACAGCGGAUAAUCGUUUUAACCGCCGAUAGGCGAAGGCGACAGUUUUCAAAAAAUCCCGCAGAGGAGGAGGGUGCAACGUAUUAUUUUCAACCGUAAGUUUUUCAAAAACGGUAUACCGACGAUCAUUUCGUCAAACGCUGUUCACUGUGCAACGUAUUCAGGCGGUUACGAAAAAUACGGGAUGACGCGUUCCCCUCUCGCCCGCACCUCACCGACGGACGACCGCGGACGUACGUACGCGAAAAACGACAAAAUUGACAAAUAUAUUAUUUAAAGCGAACGAAAAGUAUCAAGUACAUCAUGUACAGAGUGAUUCAAAAUGUAUGUUACAUCAGUUUUACCACGGGUGUAAAUAUUCAAAAUAGAGAAAUAUGUAUAAUGCAAACGUUUUUCGAUACAUAAAAAUCUGCAAUAAUUUGUAAUUUUUUUUUUCACAUUGUCUUAUUUGAUAGUGCUAACGAGUGGCGCGAAAUUUAAACGGGAACUUAUACAAAAAAAAAAAAAAAACGCGCGGACGUUCGUUCCACUGUACGCUCUCCUCCUGGGACCCAAAUCGAAAAGCGGAAUGUCGCGUCAGCGGGUCGGCGGAAACCGACGGAAAUUUCCGUUGUCCGUCAGACGUUCGCAGCGAAUCGAAAAUCGUCGGGCAUCUCGCGCGUACCGUCCGGCGGGCGUCUCUACACCCGGUCGACCGGCCGCGGUUUAACGCGUAAACGCGAUUUCGCAUCGCCCCCGUACGUGCUCC